UGGGCUCGUAGUCUAGUGGUUAUGAUACCGCCCUUACAAGGCGGUGGUCACCGGUUCAAAUCCGGUCGGGCCCAU
rnacentral:tRNA from 1 species